rnacentral:rRNA from 1 species
GCGUGAGGAACCUGCCUCAAAGAGGGGGACAACAGUUGGAAACGACUGCUAAUACCGCAUAAGCCCACAGGUCGGCAUCGACCAGAGGGAAAAGGAGCAAUCCGCUUUGAGAUGGCCUCGCGUCCGAUUAGCUAGUUGGUGAGGUAAUGGCCCACCAAGGCGACGAUCGGUAGCCGGACUGAGAGGUUGAACGGCCACAUUGGGACUGAGACACGGCCCAGACUCCUACGGGAGGCAGCAGUGGGGAAUAUUGCACAAUGGGGGAAACCCUGAUGCAGCGACGCCGCGUGGAGGAAGAAGGUCUUCGGAUUGUAAACUCCUGUUGUUGAGGAAGAUAAUGACGGUACUCAACAAGGAAGUGACGGCUAA